AACGAACGCUGGCGGCAUGCCUAACACAUGCAAGUCGAACGAGACCUUCGGGUCUAGUGGCGCACGGGUGCGUAACGCGUGGGAACCUGCCCUUAGGUUCGGAAUAACUCCCCGAAAGGGGUGCUAAUACCGGAUAAUGUCUUCGGACCAAAGACUUAUCGCCUUUGGAUGGGCCCGCGUUGGAUUAGCUAGUUGGUAGGGUAAAAGCCUACCAAGGCGACGAUCCAUAGCUGGUCUGGGAGGAUGAUCAGCCACACUGGGACUGAGACACGGCCCAGACUCCUCCGGGAGGCAGCAGUGAGGAAUAUUGGACUAUGGGCGAAAGCCUGAUCCAGCAAUGCCGCGUGAGUGAUGAAGGCCUUAGGGUUGUAAAGCUCCUUUACCCGGGAUGAUAAUGACAGUACCGGGAGAAUAAGCCCCGGCUAACUCCGUG
rnacentral:rRNA from 1 species